rnacentral:rRNA from 1 species
UACGUAGGGUGCGAGCGUUGUCCGGAAUUACUGGGCGUAAAGGGCACGCAGGCGGUGCGGCGCGUUUCGCGUGACAGCGGGUGGCUCAACUACCCGAGGAUGCGAAAGACGGCGGCACUUGAGGGCCAGAGAGGGACACGGAAUUCCGGGUGGAGUGGUGAAAUGCGUAGAGAUCCGGAGGAACACCGAAGGCGAAGGCAGUGUCCUGGCUGGUGACUGACGCUGAGGUGCGAAAGCGUGGGGAGCAAACAGG